UACGGGGGGAGCAAGCGUUGUUCGGAUUUACUGGGCGUAAAGGGCGCGUAGGCGGCCAGCACAAGUCAGUUGUGAAAUCUCCGAGCUUAACUCGGAAAGGUCAACUGAUACUGUGCGACUAGAGUGCAGAAGGGGCAACUGGAAUUCUCGGUGUAGCGGUGAAAUGCGUAGAUAUCGAGAGGAACACCUGCGGCGAAGGCGGCUCACUGGUCCGGUACUGACGCUGAGGUGCGAAAGCGUGGGGAGCAAACAGG
rnacentral:rRNA from 1 species